ensembl:lncRNA
CUGGAUUCCACUGGGGCAAGACUGGCAGGAGUAUCUGAAACCACGUGCCAAGUCAGCACAGAGUGUGCAGCUUAGGAAAUGAAAAGACCCAGCUAUUCAUGGAACCCCACUGCACACAGCUGCAUUCAGCCAAAGCGGAGCACAUGCGAACAACGGCUGCUCCAGCCCCUCUCACGGCAUGGAGGUUGCAGCAAAAAGCUGCUGAAGAGUGAGGGACUCCCACAGCCAGGGGCAGUCCUUGGCAGGGCUGAGCCUCGGUCAGACUGAGGGCGAAAAGCAGCGCAGCAAAGGAAAACAGAACGAAAGGGAACGGAUAUGAAAUAAGAUUUUCUCACUGAUUUGCGCUGGAGAUGAAUUAUGGAGCUAUUGCUGCAGAUGUAAAUGAAAGCCAAGCCAAAGGGGCAGAAGUUCUACAGGAAAACAAAUUAAAUACGUUCUCUUCCUUGCUUUCUGCAGAGAGUGUGUCUGACUCCAGAAAGCGGCUGCAACAAGAACUGAAAAACAAACCAAGUGAAAUAAACAUGCCCUGUGCGGGGAACAGCAGCUCACAGCUGUGCAUUUAGCAACGAGUUCCCAGCUGGAACGGUACACUUCUCACCCCUGAGGGCACAGCGAGAUGUUCACAGAUCCAGCAGGACUUCCAACAGCAGCCAGCCCAGCGGCACCGCUCUGCUGUGGGACCGCUCCUUCACAAACGGACCAGAGACUUCGAGAUUGGGAAAGCAGGAAUCCCUGUGGUGCUCAGAAGCCUUGAACUCUGCAGUUCCUCCAUGUGCCACCCAGACCACUGCUCCAUAUAUCAGACAAGUCAGGUGAACACAAGUGGCCCUCUGCUCUCACUCUCCAACAGAACAAGAGCCAUCACACCUCUCAGGAGUUUCUUGGAGCCAAGCUAGCUAACGGUACCCAGAACUUGCUCUGUUUUCUGCUGCUAAAUGAAAACUUUUGGAAAAAAAAAAAGUAUGAGAGACACAAACAUCAUUACCGAAAACCAGUUUGGAAAUCAGUUCAGUAUCACACACUGCCAAGAUCUGAAGGCUAAGCAUGGAAAAGCCAAGUGUUCAGCCCUGCUAACAUGGUUUUAGAAGGAUUAAUUAGAAGCAGGAAAGGCAGAAGAUAGCACCGACUCAGCUCAGUCUCUAAACAUCUCUCCAGUCAUAGCAUCUGAACCACACAUUCAAUCACAGGCUAGUCUAAAGAAGAAGCCAGCACACACUCGGUGAAAUACCAAGUGGAAAAUGAGCACAAAAAGUUCUCAAGAACUACAGCAGGACCUUGGCUUUGGUUUGCCUGUCCUGGUCUGUUCCAGCAUCUUCCCUUUGCACUUACAGCUCCUCCAGGCAAAUGAAGGUUGAAGGCAGAGGUCUGCUGAAAGACUGGGCCCUGAGCAUACCAAGGCACCAGUUUUCACUUUUUUUGGAUGCAUUUUGAAAGGGAAAAAAAAAAUCCCAGGUGUUAUCUUUGCCCUGUGAUGUCUGCAGCAGCCACAACAACCCAGCUGUGUGCCCCAGCCUCCAGACACAGCCUUCCUCCUUCUCGUCAUCCUCCUCCUCCCCCCAGAGGCUGCCAGCCCAUUGCUGCUCUUCCUCAGGUUUGCAGAGAUGGGUACCUACAGCUAUUGCUAGAUUAAAUCAAUAGGUCAAAGGCUAAGCAAAUGCUGCGUCAGAUCAUGAGCUUUCAGAGGAGAUUAACAGGACUGACACCUCGCAGUCUGAACAGUGCCUGAAGCUGAACAACUGGAUGGAAAAUGAGCCCUCCCCCAGACCAUGGUUACACCAGUGGCACUGCUGUCCCUUUGAUGUGAGCAGAUCCAGAGCCACUCUCCUGCAGUGCCUCCCCUCCAGCCCUCCUGCUCUGCUCUGGAGGAGGCAGCUUCCAAACAGGCAUGUGGGCAUCCCUGUGCCCCAUGCUGUGUGCAGGCUGGUCUGUGUAAUGUGAUAAACCAUCACUUCCUUCCUCCUGUGCAUCACUGCUGUUGCUACCUUGGGUUUGGCAGACCGGUGCUGGCUGUGGAACACACUCAGGUGCUGCCUGGCAUACCUACCCUUCCUUGUGACUGCCGGGGCAGACACACUGCGGCCAGGUUUGCACCGUUUCCAUUGGCACUACUUUGCCUACUGCCAAAAUAAAGGAUCUACUUCAUCAAACCUGCCUUAUAUUUAGCAGACACUACCCCAUCUUAGCUCAGUGUUAAGAUGGACCCAUGCAUUAAGCACUCUGGAGCGCACUGCACAACAAACACCAGCUCUGCUCUAAUAGACCCAAAUGCUGCCCCAGCCUACCCAGACUACCAUGCUCUUUGCUUCCACACCACAUACAGCCUACCAGAGGCAACCUGGACUACCAUCAGGCUGAAAGAAAUAUCAGUUGGUUCUCCUGAGCUUGUGCAUACAUUCUCUUUGAAGCAGAUGUUAAUAUACAAGGUAAAGUCCACACUAUAACAAAACAGCAUCCCCCCUAAAUUUAGAUAUAAGUGCUGCAGUUCAUAAGUUAUGAGAGAGAAAAAUGAAGGGAUUCACUUCCGAGUGAUAAGGAAGGAAUGACAGUAAGCGUUUGACACUGCUUAAAUUAGUUUUAUUUUGGAGCCAUUCAAAAUUCAGACUUUGGAUGAAUUCCUUAUGGAGGCAAGUAAAGAAUUUGCUGGCACAAUGAGGAAUAAUCUCCUACCCCAACAAAUGAAACGGCUUAAUUUGAUUUAAUUUCCCCAAUGGUGCAAUGAAGAACAUUCUUUCCAGAUAAGUGUUUCCACUGGCGAUGCUAGUGCUUGUGCUUUUGCUAUGCUCAACAUCCCCAUGUUGCAGACAUUUUGCAUAGGAUGUUAUGAGAAGAGCCUGGGGGAAUCGAAGGCAUUGCUGUGCUCUUCCCUGUGGUACUUCCCUGACAUGCCCAUCCAUGUGCUGCUGUCCACACCAUGCUCACCUGUGCAGCACCGAACAUUGUAGCUCAUGAAGUCCAGAAAUGGGCCUUGUGUGUUUCCUUCUGGGUAGUCCUGAGCACAGACACACCAGUGCAGUAAUUCACAGCUGAGAGGCAAAGGCAGGAGAAAAGCUGCAGGCGUAGGGUUCGUGAUACAGGAACCAGACAUUGCUAAUAACCAAGCACACCUUACUGCUAAGCACUGACAGCCACACACAGUAAACAUAACGACACGUCCUGUUCCAUCUGCACUGUAAGCCGUGUAGUAUGAAAGCUUCAGCAUCCUUUGAAAAGUCCUCCGGCACAAAGAAAUGACCCAACCUAAGGCUGCUCUGUUCAACAGUGAUGAAGCCAUGAAAACCAGCAUUUUCCUUUCUCCUGUCAUUCUGUAGUCUGUUUUUCACUUCCAACCUUAAA